rnacentral:lncRNA from 1 species
GGGGACGGUGCUAGGACGCAUGUGCGAGCCAUCCCGCUACGCUUCCCGCCCCCUCCUCCACCCCGCCCCCACCUGGAGAUUGCUAGCCCGUCUACAGUUGUCUGAUGGGGGACUGAGAUGGGCUGCCACAGUCUGGUCCUGCUCUGUAGCCUGGGCUGCGGUCAAUCUUGAGAUCUCCCAGCCACAGCCUCAAGUGCUGAGAAACCAGGUGCGGCUGUAAGCAUCUAAAACAAGAUAGUUCCAGGCGGAGUCUCUGACUGGCCGGCUGGAGAUGAGGCUGGGCUGGAACUCCUAGCUACCCUCUGCUUCUGCCUCCCACGCUGCUGUUAACUAAUGGGCCCUCCAGUUAGCUCAUCCCAGGAAAUCCAUAAAAGCCUUUUGUUCCUGA